rnacentral:rRNA from 1 species
UACGAAGGGGGGCUAGCGUUGCUCGGAAUCACUGGGCGUAAAGGGUGCGUAGGCGGGUCUUUAAGUCAGGGGUGAAAUCCUGGAGCUCAACUCCAGAACUGCCCUUGAUACUGAGGAUCUUGAGUUCGGGAGAGGUGAGUGGAACUGCGAGUGUAGAGGUGAAAUUCGUAGAUAUUCGCAAGAACACCAGUGGCGAAGGCGGCUCACUGGCCCGAUACUGACGCUGAGGCACGAAAGCGUGGGGAGCAAACAGG